ACAGUUUGGUCCUUAUCUGUUGCGGGCGUAGGAUAUUUGAGGAGAGCUGUUCCUAGUACGAGAGGACCGGAAUGGACGAACCGAUGGUGUUCCUGUUGUGGCGCCAGCCGCAUCGCAGGGUAGCUAAGUUCGGAAGGGAUAACCGCUGAAAGCAUCUAAGCGGGAAGCCCACUCCAAGAUUAGAUAUCCCGUGGGGUAAUACCCACCUAAAGGCUCGUUGAAGACUACAACGUCGAUAGGCCAGGUGUGGAAGUGUAGCGAUACAUGGAGCUUACUGGUACUAAUCAGCCGUGCGGCUUAACCAU
rnacentral:rRNA from 1 species